rnacentral:rRNA from 1 species
UACGGGGGGGGCAAGCGUUGGUUCGGAAUUACUGGGCGUAAAGGGCUUGGUAGGUGGCCAACUAAGUCAGACGUGAAAUCCCUCAGCUUAACUGGGGAACUGCGUCUGAUACUGGAUGGCUUGAGUUUGGGAGAGGGAUGCGGAAUUCCGAGGUGUAGCGGUGAAAUGACGUAGAUAUCUGGAGGAACACCGGUGGCGAAGGCGGCAUCCUGGACCAACACUGACACUGAGGAGCGAAAGC